rnacentral:lncRNA from 1 species
AUGGGGACCGUGUCAUCCAGCAGCCGCCGCCGUGCGGCCGGGAGCCAACCAAGCAGCAGCAGCUGGGUGAAGGCGCUCGACGUGGAGAACGAUGAGGAGGCGGCGGCACGCGCGGACGCGGACGCGGACGCGCACGCGCUCGAGGCGAAGGGCGACAAGCUGAUGUCGCAGGCGAGGCGGGAGCUGCACGGCGUCUGGUCUUACGUCUCGCGGCCCUUCAUUGUCGCUGCCAGAGCGCGCUUCUACUUCCACAAGGCCGCCGAAACCUUCGUGCUCGCCAACAGCUGGAGGAAAGCGGCGGCUGCACACCACGAACAUGCCGUUUGUUGCAUGAAGAUUGGGCGAUCAGGUAGGCUCAGAGCGGCAUUUGCGCUCUUCGAGGCUGGAAAAUGCUACAUGAAAGUUCUUGAACCUGAUGAUGAGGAGAUGACGAGCAGAACGGUGAGCGACCUGGAAAAAUCCCUUCGCAUGUUUGUCUUGGAGAACGAAUUGGUAAUGGCCGCAGAAGUCUGCGUGGAGCUAGCCAACUUGUAUGCCAUGCUGAAACAGUGGGAAAAGGUUAGGGAGUACAGACAAAAAGCGGCAGAAUUCCACGCAAAGACGAGUGAUGCGUUGUUCGACACUUCCACUGUUUAGUACUACCUCU